AAGUGCGAUAUAUAGUGCGAUCUGCAUGAAUCUGUGAGUCAUCUAGUAUUUGAACGCAACUUGCGCCAGCGGUUAGUUCGCAUGGCAUGUUCCAUCGAGUACCUGAAAAGUAGUUUUGUAGUAAUACAAAGAUAUGGCGUAUGUCUGGUGAGGAUGAGAGUCCAAGGACCCCAGACUGCGCUGAAAUGGAGCAAGUGAAGGGUAGAACUGCGAACUGCUCUCACGUGUGCCAGAGACUUAAUGUUUUGUCACGCAGGAGCAGAGUCUAUUCUAACACAAUACAACAAACCGGUCUCGGUGGAGCAAGAUUACCCGCUGAACUUAA
rnacentral:misc_RNA from 1 species